CAAGUCGAACGAGGCGGAAGGAAGCUUGCUUUCUGAGGCCUAGUGGCGAACGGGUGAGUAACACGUGGGCAAUCUGCCCGUAUGUCGUGGAUAACGGUUGGAAACGACAGCUAAUACAGGAUGAGCAUCCCGAAGGCAUCUUUGGGAUGGGAAAAGGGGCCAAGGCCCCGCAUACGGAUGAGCCUGCGGUGCAUUAGCUGGUUGGUGAGGUAACGGCUCACCAAGGCGAUGAUGCAUAGCCGACCUGAGAGGGUGACCGGCCACAGUUGGGACUGAGACACGGACCCAAACUCCGUACGGGAGGCAGCAGGUAGGGUAAUUUUCGUCCAAGUGGGGGGGAACCCUGAACGAGCAAUGCCGCGUGAGCGAAGAAGGUCUUCGGAUCGUAAAGCUCUGUUGUAAGAGAAAAACGAGCGCCAUAGGGAAUGAUGGAGCAGUGAUGGUAUCUUACCAGAAAGCCACGGCUAACUACGUGCC
rnacentral:rRNA from 1 species